rnacentral:tRNA from 1 species
GGGAAUGUGGCUUAGUGGUAAGGUGCUUGCCUAACAUGUAUGAAGCCCUAGGUUUGAUUCCUCAGUACCA